ACGGAAGGCAGCAGUGGGGAAUAUUGCACAAUGGGGGAAACCCUGAUGCAGCGACGCCGCGUGAGUGAAGAAGUAUUUCGGUAUGUAAAGCUCUAUCAGCAGGAAAGAAAAUGACGGUACCUGACUAAGAAGCCCCGGCUAACUACGUGCCAGCAGCCGCGGUAAUACGUAGGGGGCAAGCGUUAUCCGGAUUUACUGGGUGUAAAGGGAGCGUAGACGGCUUUGCAAGUCUGAAGUGAAAGCCCGGGGCUCAACCCCGGAACUGCUUUGGAAACUGUAGAGCUAGAGUGCAGGAGAGGUAAGUGGAAUUCCUGGUGUAGCGGUGAAAUGCGUAGAUAUUAGGAGGAACACCAGUGGCGAAGGCGGCUUACUGGACUGUAACUGACGUUGAGGCUCGAAGGCGUGGGGAGCAAACAGGAUUAGAUACCCUGGUA
rnacentral:rRNA from 1 species